AUUGAACGCUGGCGGUAUGCUUAACACAUGCAAGUCGAACGGCAGCAUAGUUUGUAGCAAUACAAGCUGAUGGCGAGUGGCGGACGGGUGAGAAACGCGUAGGAAUCUGCCUUGUAGAGGGGGACAACUGGAGGAAACUCCAGCUAAUACCGCAUAAAGUCGAGAGACCAAAGGCUGGGGCAACCUGGCGCUAUGAGAGGAGCCUGCGUCCGAUUAGCUAGUUGGUAGGGUAAGGGCCUACCAAGGCGAUGAUCGGUAGCUGGUCUGAGAGGAUGAUCAGCCACACUGGGAGUGAGACACGGCCCAGGUUCCUACGGGAGGCAGCAGUGGGGAAUAUUGGACAAUGUGGGCAACCCUGAUCCAGCAAUACCGCGUGUGUGAAGAAUGCCUUCGGGUUGUAAAGCACUUUAGGUUGGGAAGAAGGUGCGUAGUUUAAGAGAUGACGCAUUUGACGGUACCGACAGAAUAAGCACCGGCUAACUACGUGCCAGCCGCCGCAGUAAAAC
rnacentral:rRNA from 1 species